UCAGACUUUGAUUAUGGCUCAGGAUGAACGCUAGCUACAGGCUUAACACAUGCAAGUCGAGGGGAAACGAUAUUGGAAGCUUGCUUCCGAUAGGCGUCGACCGGCGCACGGGUGAGUAACGCGUAUCCAACCUGCCCAUCACUUGGGGAUAACCUUGCGAAAGUAAGACUAAUGCCCAAUGACAUUUAUAGAAGGCAUCGGAAAUGAAUUAAAGAUUUAUCGGUGAUGGAUGGGGAUGCGUCUGAUUAGCUUGUUGGCGGGGUAACGGCCCACCAAGGCGACGAUCAGUAGGGGUUCUGAGAGGAAGGUCCCCCACAUUGGAACUGAGACACGGUCCAAACUCCUACGGGAGGCAGCAGUGAGGAAUAUUGGUCAAUGGGCGAGAGCCUGAACCAGCCAAGUAGCGUGCAGGAUGACGGCCCUAUGGGUUGUAAACUGCUUUUAUAGGGGAAUAAAGUGAGCCACGUGUGGUUUUUUGCAUGUACCCUAUGAAUAAGGACCGGCUAAUUCCGUGCCAGCAGCCGCGGUAAUACGGAAGGUCCGGGCGUUAUCCGGAUUUAUUGGGUUUAAAGGGAGCGUAGGCCGGAGAUUAAGCGUGUUGUGAAAUGUAGAUGCUCAACAUCUGAACUGCAGCGCGAACUGGUUUCCUUGAGUACGCAUAAAGUGGGCGGAAUUCGUGGUGUAGCGGUGAAAUGCUUAGAUAUCACGAAGAACUCCGAUUGCGAAGGCAGCUCACUGGGGCGCAACUGACGCUGAAGCUCGAAAGCGCGGGUAUCGAACAGGAUUAGAUACCCUGGUAGUCCGCGCGGUAAACGAUGGAUGCCCGCUGUUGGGCCAACUGGUUCAGCGGCCAAGCGAAAGCAUUAAGCAUCCCAUCUGGGGAGUACGCCGGCAACGGUGCAACUCAAAUGAAUUGACGGA
rnacentral:rRNA from 1 species